UCGAGUGAUGUCUAUGGUUUCGGAUAGAUAGUUUUUAGUAUUAUCUUGUGGCUAGCGGUGUUAGUUUAUUUUGCAUACUGUACUAGUUUAUAUGCAUUUAUAUUUUGUGUUUGUUAUACUGUUAUCGGUCCUAAGCCGGGGGUCUAUCGGAAACAGCCUCUCUACUUCACCUGAGGUAGUGGUAUGGUCUGCGUACACUCUACCCUCCUCAGUCCUCAGACCCCACUAUGUGGGAAUACACUGGGUAUGUUGUUGUUGUACUAUUUUUCUCCGUUAAAUAUUGGUUUCUGCAGUCUUUGUGCUGAAACUUUCUUAAUGUUUUUUUUUUUAUAACCAUGGUGUCCGGGCCAGCUUGCGCGCACC
rnacentral:lncRNA from 1 species